AAGUGGUCUUCAGGGGUCCUUCCUGGGUGGCAGCCUACCUGAGCUGGACAGUCACAAUCUUCUAGCCCAUUUCUUUUUCAUUAUCUGAGCCAGAUUUCUUUACAAUAUCUGUGGAGGUGGAUUAUAAGAGGGUAAGCCCUGAUUCCUGUGGUCAGUCUCUUCACAGGGAUGCAGAAGGGCCCAGAGGACCAGGUCAGCAGCUUUUGAAAACAUCCCCCAAAGGACACGAUGAAACUGUCUCCCUUGAUUCACCUAAGACCAAGCCUAAGUGAGGGGAUCCUAAGUGAGGCGGGCCUAUUGACCGGGCUCUGUCUGGCCUGGACACACGGAACUGUUGCAGCCACUUAAGGAAUCUUGGCAGGUCUCUCUUCAUCUAUGAAAAUGACGGAUUUGAGACAGUGACUCUCUAGGAUCCUUCCCGGUCCUGAAACUCUGUUGCCUGCUCCCCAGAGGUUACCUCUCUCGGGCUGGAGAGAUUUGGAGGCACUUGCACAGUGCCCUCAGUGUCAGGGCAAGUGAUUGGGGGUGACUGAUCCUCGCCCAAAAGCAAACAAAUGGCCACCGUGGAAUCUACGGACAGCCCUCUGCUCGGGUUGGGUACAGCUUUUCCCCAGACUCUUCCAUGUUCCUCUUACUCUGUCCUCAGGUCUUUCUGCAACUUGCUCAACUGGUGUUUUCCUUCCUCCUCUUAUUUUUCCCAGAACCGUGCCCCACGUCCAGCCAGGAUUCUGGGUCCCAGAAUCAGCUUUUCUUCAACGUGCAUCAGAUUUUUAGUCCUGAGUGGCUGCAAGGGGGCCUGUCCAUUAUGA
rnacentral:lncRNA from 1 species